UCCCAACUACAAAUGAACAUGAAGUUUGAUUUCUCAGGCAUCCAAAUUAAAUUUUUAUUUAGUUUAAUCCGGUUCUAUAUUUAAAAAAAUUAAAAAAAAAAUAAAAUAUAAUAAUGUUGUACAUAAAUAUGAUCUUACGUGUUGUCUAUAAUAAAAUAUUUUUACGAUUUAAGUUAAAAUAUUAUUUUUAUUUACAACAAAAUCGUCCCGCGGUGUACUGCAUAUUGACCAC
rnacentral:lncRNA from 1 species